rnacentral:tRNA from 1 species
UGCCAGAUCGUCUAACGGCAGGACAGCAGACUCUGGAUCUGCGAGUGGAGGUUCGAAUCCUCCUCUGGCAG